rnacentral:rRNA from 1 species
UAGCCACGGGAAUACGAAGGGGGCUAGCGUUGCUCGGAAUGACUGGGCGUAAAGGGCUCGCAGGCGGUUUCUUAAGUCUGAUGUGAAAGCCCCCGGCUCAACCGGGGAGGGUCAUUGGAAACUGGGAAACUUGAGUGCAGAAGAGGAGAGUGGAAUUCCACGUGUAGCGGUGAAAUGCGUAGAGAUGAGGAGGAACACCAGUGGCGAAGGCGACUCUCUGGUCUGUAACUGACGCUGAGGAGCGAAAGCGUGGGGAGCGAACAGGAUUAGAUACCCGUGUAGUCCCUGUCUCUUAUACACA